UACGAAGGGGGCUAGCGUUGUUCGGAUUUACUGGGCGUAAAGCGCACGUAGGCGGAUAUUUAAGUCAGAGGUGAAAUCCCAGGACUCAACCCUGGAACUGCCUUUGAUACUGGAUAUCUUGAGUAUGGAAGAGGUAAGUGGAAUUCCGAGUGUAGAGGUAAAAUUCGUAGAUAUUCGGAGGAACACCAGUGGCGAAGGCGGCUCACUGGUCCAUUACUGACGCUGAGGUGCGAAAGCGUGGGGAGCGAACA
rnacentral:rRNA from 1 species